CCUACGGGUGGCAGCAGUGGGGGAUAUUGCACAAUGGGGGGAACCCUGAUGCAGCGACGCCGCGUGGGUGAAGAAGCGCCUCGGCGCGUAAAGCCCUGUCAGCAGGGAAGAAAAUGACGGUACCUGAAGAAGAAGCCCCGGCUAACUACGUGCCAGCAGCCGCGGUAAUACGGAGGAUGCGAGCGUUAUCCGGAUUGAUGGGGUUUAAAGGGUGCGUAGGCGCAUCGUUAAGUAAGUGGUCAAAUUGAGGGGCUCAACCCCUUCCCGCCAUUGAAACUGGCGUUCUUGAGUGGAAGAGAAGUAUGCGGAAUGCGUGGUGUAGCGGUGAAAUGCAUAGAUAUCACGCAGAACCCCGAUUGCGAAGGCAGCAUGCCGGCUUCCGACUGACGCUGAAGCACGAAAGCGUGGGGAUCGAACAGGAUUAGAUACCCGGGUAGUC
rnacentral:rRNA from 1 species